CAUGUAGGCGGCUAUUUAAGUCGAUUGUGAAAGCCCUCGGCUUAACUGAGGAAUUGCAAUCGAUACUGAAUUGCUUGAGUGCAGGAGAGGAAAGCGGAAUUCCCGGUGUAAGAGUGAAAUCUGUAGAGAUCGGGAGGAACACCAGUGGCGAAAGCGGCUUUCUGGCCCGCAACUGACGCUGAAAUGCGAAAGCUAGGGGAGCAAACA
rnacentral:rRNA from 1 species